CUUUCACAGAAAGAAAGUAACAGACAUAAUUCCUGUUGAUGAGGCUGGGAUUGUUUUUAAGAGGAGAGAUAAUAACUUCAUAUUUUUAAAGUGCCAGUAGCCUAAUAUGUGAAACAGAUCAGAAUCUGUUGUGUAGUAAGUCUGCUUUGUUGAAGAAUUUAUUAUGGGAGUAAAGAUAAGAAGGAAAGAGAUCACCAUCAGAAACAAGUCAGCCUUUUCAUGCUUUUUUGAGCAUUUUUGGAGAUGAUUCCACUUCUCAAGUUAUUAUCAUUUGUGCAUCUCUUCAAUGCUAUUGUUAAAUGCUUUAGAAUUAGAAUAUUUUGAUCCUUUAAUUAAAGUAAGCCAAACGUCUAGGCAAAAACAGCCAAUCAUUAAACUUUAAUAGUAAUUCAAAUAUAGAUUUCUCAUACAGUUUUCCAUGUCUGUAGAAAUCAAAGUUGUAAUGUUAAGCAGAGGGAAAUGCGUGUGAUUUACUAAUACACUUCAACGUUCUACUUUUGAAAGGAUACUCAUGUGGGUGGGGCAGAGAACAUAGAAAAAGAUAUGAUGGAAAACCUGUCCAUUUUCUACCUGUUAACCUUCAUCAUUUUGUGCCAGGCCCUGGAAGCAAAGAGAGGAAGGGACCGACUGCAUUUAUCUUUGAACACUUGAGCAUCAGUAGUACUACUGAGUGGCCAGGGGUCUUGUCUGUCAAAGCAAAUGAUAAGUUCACUCAGGCCAUUAUUGACUGCUGAACUCUCUUCCUUCCCAACUCUUCCUUGAAAGAGAAAAAAAUACUUUGCCUUCUUGCUCUCCUUAUCAAAUGUUUUUGUACAAAUAGUGUAAGCCUGUUUAAGCAAACCAAUUAAAAUAGGCACUGAUUAUUUUGAUCUGUUUGUAACAAAUGAAUGUAAGUACUAUUUACAUGGUGUGCCUAGGAGGAGCUGAAAUCAUUGGCACUUUAAUCCAUAUUGUAAAGAUCAGUAUCAAAAGCAUAGUGUUCUUCACCUCUCCUCCUCAGCAUCCAUCUCUAUAUACUUGAUUAAAUGGAAAAGUCUCUUUUAUCACCUCUAUGUAAAGUUUUAUGGGUAGUUAUCGUCAGUGUAUUUAAAUAUAUCUUCUAGUAUGUUUUAAAGGCUGGUCUUCAAUACUGUGGAGACAAAAAAUAAAAGAGCGUAUGAAAAGUACGUUAGACUUUUGCUGGCAUUCAAGUCAUGGCUAGUCUGUGUAUUUAAUAAAUGUGUGUUAUUUAUGUCGUGUUUGUCAAUGGAAAAUAAAGUUGAAUAUUCUGAAA
rnacentral:lncRNA from 1 species